GCUUACGCCAUACCACCCUGAACACGCCCGAUUCGUCUGAUCUCGGAAGCUAAGCAGGUCGGGCCUGGUCAGUACUUGGAUGGGAGACCGCCUGGGAAUACCAGGUGCUGUAAGCU
rnacentral:rRNA from 1 species